CUUAGAGGUAAACGAGUGGAGCCGAAAAUGUUGUAUAGAAUUCAGUUGAUGGUAUUUUGUACGUAAGUGGACAAUAUUUCUCUUUUGGAAAUUGUCUAUUUAUUUUAUGAAGUAUAAUUGAUGCAUUUUCUAUACAACAAUACUGCGACCAAUAGAGCUGUUUUUCUGUCAUAAUAAUGAAGGUGAUCAAUUUUUCGGAAUUGGUUUUAUAGCUUAUUAUAUGGUUAAACAUGUGUAUUGGUGAAUGCGAUUGGCUAAUUUUAAUGAUUUGACAUUUGGAUCAGUUAUUGAUAGACUAAAAAUAGACUGUUUUUAAAUGAUUCUAGUGUUUGAUUAUUGAAGGGUCAUAUCUAAAGUCUGCAGUUAUCAAUGUAGGUUACCUACUUGUCCCGUCUUGAAACACGGACCAAGGAGUUUUAUAUGAUCGCGAGUCAAAGGGCUUUACGAAACCCCAGGGCGUAAUUAAUGUAAAGGUUUGCUUUAUGUAAACUGUGAUGUGACCUUGCGAUAUUGCGAUAAAGCUUGAGCAACAUCGACCCGUCUAAAGAUGUUCGCAUCUGGGCGGAGUUUGAGCGAUCAUGUAGAGACCCGAAAGAUGGUGAACUAUGCUUGUGCAGGUUGAAGUCAGGGGAAACUCUGAUGGAAGACCGUAGCGGUUCUGACGUGCAAAUCGAUCGUUGGACAUGAGUAUAGGGGCGAAAGACUAAUCGAACCAUCUAGUAGCUGGUUCCCUCCGAAGUUUCCCUCAGGAUAGCUGGCGUUUGAUGUCGUAGUUUUACCUGGUAAAGCGAAUGAUUAGAAGUAUUGGGGAUGAAAUGUCCUCAACUUAUUCUCAAACUUUAAAUGGGUUCGAAGUGCAUCUCGCUUCAUUGGAGAUGUACAUUGAAUACGAAUGCCUAGUGGGCCAUUUUUGGUAAGCAGAACUGGCGAUGUGGGAUGAACCAAACAUUUGGUUAAGGUGCCUAACAUCACGCUCAUGAGAAACCACAAAAGGUGUUGGUUGAUAAAGACAGCAGGACGGUGGACAUGGAAGUUGUCAUCCGCUAAGGAGUGUGUAACAACUCACCUGCCGAAUCAACCAGCCCUGAAA
rnacentral:rRNA from 1 species